CAGUCGCCACGGUAAUACGAAGGGUGCAAGCGUUACUCGGAAUUACUGGGCGUAAAGCGUGCGUAGGUGGUUGUUUAAGUCUGCUGUGAAAGCCCUGGGCUCAACCUGGGAAUUGCAGUGGAUACUGGGCGACUAGAGUAAGGUAGAGGAUAGUGGAAUUUCCGGUGUAGCAGUGAAAUGCGUAGAGAUCGGAAGGAACAUCUGUGGCGAAGGCGACUAUCUGGGCCAUUACUGACACUGAGGCACGAAAGCGUGGGGAGCAAACAGGAUUAGAUACCCCUGUAGUCCCUGUCUCUUAUAC
rnacentral:rRNA from 1 species